UACGGAGGGUGCAAACGUUGCUCGGAAUCAUUGGGCGUAAAGCGCAUGUAGGCGGUCGGCUAUGUCGGAUGUGAAAGCCUCGGGCUUAACCCGAGAAGUGCAUCCGAAACUGGCCGGCUUGAGUACGGAAGAGGGUCUCGGAAUUCCCGGUGUAGAGGUGAAAUUCGUAGAUAUCGGGAGGAACACCAGUGGCGAAGGCGGAGACCUGGGCCGAUACUGACGCUGAGGAGCGAAAGCGUGGGGAGCGAACAGG
rnacentral:rRNA from 1 species